GUGGGGAAGUAUUGCACAAUGGGCGCAAGCCUGAUGCAGCGACGCCGCGUGCGGGAUGGAGGCCUUCGGGUUGUAAACCGCUUUUGUUCAAGGGCAAGGCAGGCUUUCGGGCCUGUUGAGUGGAUUGUUCGAAUAAGCACCGGCUAACUACGUGCC
rnacentral:rRNA from 1 species